rnacentral:ncRNA from 1 species
UAAAAGUUUUAUUCUUGCUUGAAAAUUCACUUUUCCUUUGUAUUAUAUGUAAGUUUUGUAUACUAAAUGUUCUUUUUGCAGUAAUUUAAUUUAAUUAUCAAGUGAUUUUGGAAUUAGCAAUUGUUUUAGUAUCGGCAUAAUUCGUGCCAGCAGCCGCGGUUAUACGAUUGAUACAAGUGAAUAUUAUUGGUUAAGACAGUUAUUUAUAUUUUUGAGUUUAAUUAUAAAUUUAUAGGGUGAAAUUUUAUAUUUUAAUAUAACUCUUUUUAUGAACCUGUGAAACUUAAAUAAUAAACUAGGAUUAGAUACCCUAUUAUUUUAAGUGUUAAUUAUGCUUACCAGGGUACUAUUAGCUAAGGUCUUUAAACCCAAAGAAUUUGGCGGUAUCUUAUACCAUUCAGAGGAACCUACCCCGUAAUUGAUAGUACACGAUUAACUUUACUUAACUUAUUUGUUUGUAUAUCUCCGUUAUCAGGAAAUCUUUUUAGAGUUAUAAUUUUCUUGAUUUAGAAUUAUAAAAUAUUUCAGGUCAAGGUGCAGCUUAUAGUUAAGAGGAGGUGGGUUACAAUAGAUUAUUGUUUAUAACGAAUUUAGUUGUUGAAAUACUGCUAAUGAAGGUGGAUUUGAUAGUAAUUUAAUUUAUUUAAUUUAAUUGAUAUUGGCUCUAAGGUGUGUACACAUCGCCCGUCACUCUCAUUAUUGGUCAUUUUUUUUUAAUUUUUUGUUAAAUUAGCAUCAAUUUAGAUGAGAUAAGUCGUAACAUAGUAGAUGUACUGGAAAGUGUAUCUAGUAAGAG